rnacentral:tRNA from 1 species
GCGCGAGUAGUUAAGCGGCAGAACAUUUCGUUGCCAACGAAGUAACCCGAGUUCGACUCUCGGCUCGCGCA